rnacentral:rRNA from 1 species
CCUACGGGAGGCAGCAGUGAGGAAUAUUGGUCAAUGGACGCAAGUCUGAACCAGCCAUGCCGCGUGCAGGAAGACGGCUCUAUGAGUUGUAAACUGCUUUUGUACGAGGGUAAAUCCCGAUACGUGUAUCGGGUUGAAAGUAUCGUACGAAUAAGGAUCGGCUAACUCCGUGCCAGCAGCCGCGGUAAUACGGAGGAUUCAAGCGUUAUCCGGAUUUAUUGGGUUUAAAGGGUGCGUAGGCGGUUCGAUAAGUUAGAGGUGAAAGCCCGUGGCUCAACUCCGGCACUGCCUCUGAUACUGUCGGGCUAGAGUUUAGUUGCGGUAGGCGGAAUGUAUGGUGUAGCGGUGAAAUGCAUAGAGAUCAUACAGAACACCGAUUGCGAAGGCAGCUUACCAAACUACGACUGACGUUGAGGCACGAAAGCGUGGGGAGCAAACAGGAUUAGAUACCCCAGUAGUC